CAUCACCACGCGGAUCCGUACCUCGGAGAGUGGCUCAGAUGAGGCCAUCAAGUCCAUCCUGGAACAGGCCAAGAGAGAGCUGCAGGUUCAGAAGGCUGAUGGUGUGGAGGACAGACAGCGACGACAGACAGGUUACCCCCGGGGCAUGGGCAACUAUUUUGCAAAAUAUGCACAAAGUCUCAGACUCGUAGACUCGUCCCAGCCCCCUCCCUCGUCCAGCAUUGGUGGUGGUGGAGGUGGUAUCGGCUCAGGUGGAUCCUCCAGCUCAGACGAGACCAUCCGCUCCAUCCUAGAGCAGGCCAGGAGAGAGAUGGAGGCCCAGCAGGCCGCCCUGGAGCCCAUC